AACCUAGCACACCUGCGGUGUGUACCUGCGGAGGGAUCAUUACAAAAAAAGACCCAAAGGGGUUUUUGGGCUCCGGCCCAAGAAAUACCCAACCCACCUCUUGUGCACUGUUUCCUGUUUGCUUUGGCAGUUGCUUUGGCUUCUUUGGAAGUCAACUUCCCGCCGGCUCUAUCCUUUUGGGACAGCUGGUGGUGAAGCGGCCUGCCAAGGCUUUUUCCAAAAUAACGCUUUUUAGAAUCU
rnacentral:misc_RNA from 1 species